UACGUAGGGGGCAAGCGUUAUCCGGAUUUACUGGGUGUAAAGGGAGCGUAGACGGCAGUGCAAGUCUGAAGUGAAAGGCAAGGGCUCAACCCUUGGACUGCUUUGGAAACUGUGCUGCUGGAGUGUCGGAGAGGCAAGUGGAAUUCCUAGUGUAGCGGUGAAAUGCGUAGAUAUUAGGAGGAACACCAGUGGCGAAGGCGGCUUGCUGGACAGCAACUGACGGUGAGGCGCGAAAGCGUGGGGAGCAAACAGG
rnacentral:rRNA from 1 species